CCCCAUAUGGUGUAGUGGUUAGCAUAUUAGGCUUUCAACCCAGAUCAACUUGAGAUUUUACCUCAAGGUUGCUGCUACCCCUGGAGUCCCGGGUUCAAUUUCCGGUGUGGGAA